rnacentral:rRNA from 1 species
CGAAGGGGCUAGCGUUGUUCGGAAUCACUGGGCGUAAAGGGCGCGUAGGCGGCCGAUCAAGUCGGGGUGAAAGCCUGUGGCUCAACCACAGAAUUGCCUUCGAUACUGUUCGGCUCGAGACCGGAAGAGGUCAGUGGAACUGCGAGUGUAGAGGUGAAAUUCGUAGAUAUUCGCAAGAACACCAGUGGCGAAGGCGGCUGACUGGUCCGAUCUGACGCUGAGGCGCGAAAGCGUGGGAGCAAACAGGAUU